UCCUCGGCAUUUUAGCCCAGUUGGUAGAGCACAGGGCUCUUAAUCUCAGGGUUCUGGGUUCAAGUCCCACACCGAGCAA